rnacentral:tRNA from 1 species
GCUGUUAUAGCUCAGGUGGUAGAGCGCAACAUUGGUAGUGUUGAGGUCACGAGUUCGACUCUCGUUAACAGCU